rnacentral:rRNA from 1 species
UACGUAGGUGGCAAGCGUUGUCCGGAAUCACUGGGUGUAAAGCGCGCGCAGGCGGCGAUCUACGUCUGGGGUGAAAGCCCGGAGCUCAACUCCGGGACUGCCUUGGAUACGGGAUCGCUUGAGGAUUGGAGAGGCAAGGGGAAUUCCACGUGUAGCGGUGAAUUCGUAGAUAUGUGGAGGAACACCUGUGGCGAAGGCGCCUUGCUGGCCAAUUUCUGACGCUGAGGCGCGAAAGCGUGGGGAGCAAACAGG